rnacentral:tRNA from 1 species
UAGCUAAGUCGGCAGAGAACCUGCCUGCAAUGCAGGAGACCCAGGUUCAAUUCCUGG